AUGACCCCAAUGUCAGCACUCCCUUUUUUGUAUCUCUUUUGGGGCCGCUUCGCCUCCGUUUGGGGUUUGGGGUCGUUAUGGGGUGGGAGAAGCUAUGGGGUGGGGGCUGCUAUAGGGUUGGAUCUGCUGUGGGGUGGGGGCUGCUAUGGGGUGGGAGAAGCUAUGGGGUCGAGUUGCUCUGGGGUGGGGGCUGCUAUGGGGUCAAGCUGUUAUGCGGUGAGAGAAGCUAUGGGGUGGGGGCUGCUAUGGGGUGGGAGCUGCUAUGGGGUGAGGGCUGCUAUGGGGUGGGAGAAGCUAUGGGGUGAGAGCUGCUAUGGGGUCGAGCUGCUAUGGGGUGAGAGAAGCUAUGGGGUGAGAGCUGCUAUAGGGUGGGGGCUGCUAUGGGGUGGGAGAAGCUAUGGGGUCGAGCUGCUAUGGGGUGGGAACUGCUAUGGGGUCAAACUGCUAUGGGGUGAGGGCUGCUAUGGGGUGGGAGCUGCUAUAGGGUUGGAUCUGCUAUGGGGUGAGGGCUGCUAUGGGGUUGGGAUUGGGAUUGGAGCUGGGGUUGGGAUUUGGGGUCAGGAUUGGGAUCGGGAUUGGAGCUGGGGUUGGGAUUGGGAGCAGAAUUUAGGAUUGGGAUUAGGAUUGGGGUUGGGAUUGGGAGCAGGGUUCAGGAUUGGGAUUAGGAUUGGGGUUGGGAUUGGGGUGGGAUUGCGACUGGGAUCUGGAGUUGGGGUUGGGAUUGGGAUCAGGAUUGGGAUCGGGAUUGGGAUCGGGAUUGAGAUUGGGAUCAGCAUUGGAAUCAGGAUCUG
rnacentral:lncRNA from 1 species